rnacentral:rRNA from 1 species
AGUGAACGCUGGCGGCAGGCCUAACACAUGCAAGUCGAGCGGCAGCGCGUCCGACCACCCUCGGGUGGUCGGAUGGCGGCGAGCGGCGGACGGGUGAGGAAUGCAUCGGAAUCUGCCUCGUUGUGGGGGAGUAACGUAGGGAAACGUUACGCUAAUACCGCAUACGACCUACGGGUGAAAGUGGGGGACCGUUCGGGCCUCACGCGAUGAGAUGAGCCGAUGCCGGAUUAGCUAGUUGGCGGGGUAAAGGGCCCACCAAGGCGACGAUCCGUAGCUGGUCUGAGAGGAUGAUCAGCCACACUGGAACUGAGACACGGUCCAGACUCCUACGGGAGGGCAGCAGUGGGGGAAUAUUGGACAAAUGGGGGGCGAACCCUGAUCCAGCCAUGCCGCGUGUGUGAAGAAGGCC